rnacentral:tRNA from 1 species
GGUUUUGUGGCUCAGUGGUAGAGUGCUUGCCUAGUAUGUAUGAAGCACUGGGUUCGAUCCUCAGCACCA